CUUCACAAAGAGCUGGAAGCAAGACAGUUUGUGGCUUGUCUCCUUUAGUGGCAAUGACCCAGCGCUUUGUGUUCUCCACCUCUAGAGCAAUGUAGGACAUGGCUUAGAGCAGAUGUUCCAAGGUGGUGAGAUCAUGGUUGUAAACCAACUGCAUUUCAGGCCUUUGUAUGAGACGUUCCAGGUAGGCUGUAAGAGCCCUGUGGAUAUCGAGUUCUUUGUCACCUUGCCAAAGAGCUGGAAGCGAGACGGUCUGUGGCCUGUCUCAUCUUAAGGGAGCCAGGCAGGGCUUUGUGUCUUCCUACUCUAGGGCAAUGUAUUACACGGCAGAGCAGAAGUUCUGCUUCAGCAAAAUCAGGGCUGGAAAGAAACUGCGUUUCACAGGAUUUGUGAGAGAUAUUCCCGGUAUGCCGUAAGGGCACUGUGGAGAGCGAGUUGUUUCUUAGCUUGCGAAAGAUCUGGAUGCAAGAGUCUUUGUGGCCUGUCUCCCCUUGAGGAAAGAAGGCUUGACAUUGUGCAUUGCACCUCUAGGGCAAUGUAGGACACGGAAGAGAAGAAGUUCUACCUCAGUGAGAUCAGGGCUGGAAAGAAACUGCGUUUCACAGGCCUUUGUGAGAGAUGUUCCCGGUAGGCUGUAUGAGCACUCUGGAGAGCGAGUUGUUUUUUAGCUUCCCAAAGAUCUGUAAGCAAGAAGCUUUGUGGCCUGUUUUCCCUUUAGGAAACAAGGCAGGACGUUGUGCCUUGCACAUCUAGGGCAAUGUAGGACACGGCAGAGCAGAAGUUCUACUUCAGCGAGAUCAGGGCUGGGAAGAAACUGUGUUUCACAGGAUUUGUGAGCCAUGUUCCCAGUAGGCUGUAAGAGCACUGUGGAGAGCAAGUUGUUUCUUAGCUUCCCAAGAUCUGGAAGCAAGACCGUUUGUGGAUUGUCUCCUUUGAAGGCAAUGACUCAGCGCUUUGUGACUUCCACCUCUAGAGCAAUGUAGGACAUGGCUUAGAGCAGAACUUCCAA
rnacentral:lncRNA from 1 species